UACGUAGGAGGCGAGCGUUGUCCGGAUUUACUGGGCGUAAAGCGCGCGCAGGCGGCAUGGCAAGUAAGGUGUGAAAUCUCCCUGCCUAACGGGGAGGGUGCAUUUUAGACUGCCAAGCUAGAGGACGGUAGAGGGGGGGUAGAAUUGCUGGGUGUAGCGGUGAAAUGCGUAGAGAUCAGCAGGAAUACCCGUGGCGAAGGCGGCCCC
rnacentral:rRNA from 1 species